UUGCCGACAUGUUCGUAAACAAGCUAGCACGUGUUUUGAUUUAAGCGGCACGCUCGUUUCUGUUCAUUUAUUUGGAAAAUAUUUUGUAAAAUUGUAGUAGCAAUAGUUUUAAAGUGAAAUGAAAAUGAAGAGAAUAAGUGAAAGUGAUUGUCCGCACAAGGGGCGAACACAAAUUCACAAUGUGCGCUUCUACAAUUUGCAGCCCCGUUCUAUACAAUGCAUGGCUUACAAUGCAAUUUGGAAAAAAUUGGCAGUCUCAAGAAAUGAUGGUUCCAUUGAAAUCUGGGACGUACGACACGCACCCUGUCUGGAACGCACUAUACCCAAGUCGCCGCAAAAUUCAGUGGAAGGUUUAGCCUGGUCCUCGGAACGUUUGUUCAGUGCUGGUCUCAAUGGCGAGCUAAUUGAGUGGAACAUGGAAACACUGAGUCCCAAAUACAAACAGCAUGUGACCGGUAAUGCCAUUUGGUGUCUUGAUGUCAAUCGCGAAGGCAGUGAGAUAGCCAUAGGAACUGAAGAGGGCUACAUAAAUAUUUUCAACAUCGAAGACAAUCAGUUUCAGUAUAAAUCUUUGUUUGACAAGCAAGAGGGAAGAGUGUUGUGCUGUCGUUACGAUGCCACUGGCAAUUUUCUAGUUACUGGUUCAAUGGGCGCCAUACGCAUUUGGAACACCCGUACGGGACAUGCCAUACACAAAAUGACUGUAGCCUCCAAAUCUCAGCCUCAGGACACAAUUGUAUGGUCGUUGCAAGUUUUACAGGAUUUCACCAUUAUCUCGGGCGACUCACGAGGUCAUGUCAGUAUAUGGGAUGGCAAGACAGCUUCACAAAUUGAGACACAUCAGGUGCUGAAGGCCGACGUUCUAGCAGUGGCGGUGAAUGAGGAGGAAGAUAAACUAUUUUGUGCUGGCAUAGAGCCCACAAUACGUAUUUAUGCCAAAACCCAAAUAAAACGUGAUGACAUGACCUUCUUUAGAUGGAUUAAGUUUUUGCAACGUCGCGUCCAUGAUCAUGAUGUAAAGGCUUUGGUCUGUGCCCAAGAUAACAUCUAUUCGGGUGGUGUAGAUGGUUAUUUGGGCAUAUCAUCGGCAACAAAAACCAAAUCCACUAUUGUUAAAUAUGGACCAUUUUUAGAGCAACCCUGCGCCAGCAUAGCUACUGCUGAACGCCUUAUACUUUUGCGUUAUACAAACUCAUUGGAAAUUUGGCGUAUGGGAUCUACAGGUGAUGAACAAGAGUCCGGUCAGCACACCAAUAAUCGCGAUUUGGCAACCCCUAAACGUUUAAGCUUAGAAACUGUACCUGAAAAACUAUUGGAGUUCAAAAGCAAAAAUGAUGAUCGCAUAGUCUGCUCCACACUUUCGCCCAAUGGCCGAUGGCUGUGUUAUUCCACCCAUGAUGAAAUACGUCUAUUCCAGUUUGUAGCCGGCAUUAACGAAGGCGAUAAUACACGCAGCACACAACUUGUGCGUGUCAAAGAUUUGCCCGAACAAUUGGCGGCAGCUUCGCAUCUGCAUUUUACAGCCGAUUCAAUGAGACUUAUGGUGGUGAGUCGUGAAAGCAAACAAAUCACCAUAUUCGCCAUGCUCACCUCGCCAGAUGAGAGUAUACUGGACACCUCUACCUCACCGCCCUUGGACUUUAUAGAGGCCAUAGAGACCUCGAAACACAUAAAGGAUUCUAUAAAGCUGUUCACUGUUUCGGUGUGUGGCUCCUACAUAGCAGCCGCCAGUUCAGAUCGUUCCAUAGCAGUGUGGUCGGUGUAUAAAGGGAAACAUUUUAAGCAUCUACUCAAUUUGCCUCGUUAUACCGCAGCCACAACAGCGAUUUCCAUACACGCAGAACAGCCACGGCUUGUUGCAGCCUUUGCCGAUGGCAAAAUAUUUGAAUAUGAUUUAGAGGAGAUGUGUUUCACCUGCUCUGAUCUGGAUCGUUUUGUAGUGAAUUCCGAGUAUCAAAGCAUCAAUAACAUUGUGCUCGAUCCACGAAAUCCCAAUGUUUUUGUCAUGCAAAAUGAUGCCAAGCUAUUUGUAUUGGAAAAGUGCAAGGCACAAGACAAAAUUGAAGAUGCUGUGGUGGAGAAUUCGAAAAAGAAAUCUUUGAAGAAACCCAAAACCAGUGAUAAUUCCGAUGAUGAAAAUAAGGUCUAUGGUUUGCGACUGAAAAUGGAAAAGACCUAUGAGCAUUUGCUUCAUGUGGCUUGGCUGAGUUCCGAGGAACUGGUGGCGGUUUGCGCCAAUCCCAUCGCCCUAUUAGAAAGUUUACCUAGUCCCUUCAAGGAGAAACUUUUUAGAACCAUGUAAAGAUAAUAUUUUGUUUUGAUUUUUUUCAUAAGUUUCUAUGAUUUAAGCUAAAUACUAUUCUGUUAAAAAGUUAAUGGAAUGUAGGGUUAACCCUAACCUAAUGGAAUGCGAAUUCUGAUGGAAAUAGCAAAAUAUUAUGUUAAGAAUACUCGUUCAAAUUGGCUGGAUAGUAUAACUCAAGAUUUCAUUUCGUUUGGUUAACAAUUUGUUAUGGCCAAAAGAAAACCUUUCAAAAUUCAUAGGCUUUGCUUUUGGAUUCAUGGAGAGAAUAUGGCUUAGCAAAACUCAAGAGC